rnacentral:rRNA from 1 species
AUACGGAGGAUGCGAGCGUUAUCCGGAUUUAUUGGGUUUAAAGGGUGCGUAGGCUGUGCGUUAAGUCAGGGGUGAAAUGCCGUCGCUCAACGACGGAGCUGCCCUUGAUACUGGCGUGCUGGAGUACGGAUGCCGUUGGAGGAAUGAGUGGUGUAGCGGUGAAAUGCUUAGAUAUCACUCAGAACACCGAUUGCGAAGGCAUCUGACGAAGCCGUCACUGACGCUGAGGCACGAAAGCGUGGGGAUAGAACAGGAUUAGAUACCCUGGUAUUCCACGCCGUAAACGAUGAUGACUAACCGUCGGCGAUAGACAGCCGGUGGCCAAGCGAAAGCGAUAAGUCAUCCACCUGGGGAGUACGUCGGCAACGAUGAAACUCAAAUGAAUUGACGGGG